rnacentral:rRNA from 1 species
GACGAACGCUGGCGGCGUGCCUAACACAUGCAAGUCGAACGGAGAUGUUGAUUUCGGUUGACGUCUUAGUGGCGAACGGGUGAGUAACACGUGAGCAACCUGCCCCAGACUCUGGGAUAACAGUUGGAAACAGCUGCUAAUACCGGAUACGAGACGGAGAGGCAUCUCUACCGUCUGGAAAGUUUUUCGGUCUGGGAUGGACUCGCGGCCUAUCAGCUAGUUGGUGAGGUAAUGGCUCACCAAGGCGACGACGGGUAGCCGGCCUGAGAGGGCGACCGGCCACACUGGGACUGAGACACGGCCCAGACUCCUACGGGAGGCAGCAGUGGGGAAUAUUGCACAAUGGGCGAAAGCCUGAUGCAGCGACGCCGCGUGAGGGAUGAAGGCCUUCGGGUUGUAACCUCUUUCAGCAGGGAAGAAGACGAAAGUGACGGUACCGCAGAAGAAGCACCGGCUAACUACGUGCCAGCGAGCCGCGGUAAUAAUAGCGUAC